rnacentral:rRNA from 1 species
UGGGGAAUUUUGGACAAUGGGCGAAAGCCUGAUCCAGCGAUGCCGCGUGUGUGAAGAAGGCCUUCGGGUUGUAAAGCACUUUUGUCCGGAAAGAAAUCCUUGGCUCUAAUACAGUCGGGGGAUGACGGUACCGGAAGAAUAAGCACCGGCUAACUACGUGCCAGCAGCCGCGGUAAUACGUAGGGUGCAAGCGUUAAUCGGAAUUACUGGGCGUAAAGCGUGCGCAGGCGGUUUGCUAAGACCGAUGUGAAAUCCCCGGGCUCAACCUGGGAACUGCAUUGGUGACUGGCAGGCUAGAGUAUGGCAGAGGGGGGUAGAAUUCCACGUGUAGCAGUGAAAUGCGUAGAGAUGUGGAGGAAUACCGAUGGCGAAGGCAGCCCCCUGGGCCAAUACUGACGCUCAUGCACGAAAGCGUGGGGAGCAAACAGGAUUAGAUACCCUGGUAGUCCACGCCCUAAACGAUGUCAACUAGUUGUUGGGGAUUCAUUUCCUUAGUAACGUAGCUAACGCGUGAAGUUGACCGCCUGGGGAGUACGGUCGCAAGAUUAAAACUUAAAGGAAUUGACGGGGUCAUAGCUGUUUCCU